UGGCCCUUUAAAUAAUCCAGAGCCUUGCAACAACACCUGUGUUAGUUUCUUUGGAAGUGACUGCAAUUUCUGAUCAUUCUUCCCAGGUGAACACGCCAUAGCGGGUGUGUGCCUGGUGCUGCUAAACACCACAGAUACCUUGUAUCUUUAAGGUGGGGUUGGAGUUCUCCAGUUGGUCACCGUAUCCAACUCCUCCUUCUUCCUUCCCCUCAGCCAUAUCUCUGGUCAGUUCCCAGAAGUGGUAUCUCCAGCCUUGUUCUCUUCAAAGCUAACCCAGCACCCUCCCUCCUGGCUUUUCUACUCACAGUGCGGUUUGGCCCAGGAGGUCUGAAUUGAACAGGGACAGCCUGAGCUGAACUUCAGGGAAUGGGAGGUUCCAGUGUUUGCCUGAGGCGUAAGUAGUCAUUCAGCAAUCAGGAACUCUUACCUGGGAGCUGUCCAUCCCAGCUGUUGGCACUUCUGGCACCGUGGAUCUAUUGAGGAGGGCCAACCCAAACAGGCUACUUCUGCUCUUCCUUCAAGGGACAGUCACAAGAUUACCUUCUAUGGAAUGUUUUUAGAAUGGAAAAUGGCUGAAUCCUCUCCAUGAAGGAGCAGGUGUUCUGGGUAUGGUGGACCAAGUCCUUGCUGGGUCUAAUGAGGCAGCAUGACGUGGCAGUGACCUCCAUGAUGACUCGGUGAAGAAGCGAUGACUUUGCCACCCCUCCCUCCAGGCAGUUCACUCUGUCCACCCAACUCCCAUCCCAGUUUGGCUCUUCUGUCUUCUCUCUCCUGCACCCUCUCCCCUCAUGGAGGACUUUAAGUCUCUUUCCUGAAAUGUCCCAUCCUGCUUGCCUUUCAAAGUUUCCUAGAAGGCUUCGAUGGAAGCAGUGUCCAGUUGAUCGCUUCGGGGAGCGUGGGAAAUCUCCCUGAGGUGGACACCAGCCAUCCCUGAUUCCUAAAAACCCACGCUACCUGUGAAUCCCAAGAAUAAAAUCCUGCCUGAUCUCCUUUUCCAA